GCAAGUCGAACGGUAACAGGAAGAAGCUUGCUUCUUUGCUGACGAGUGGCGGACGGGUGAGUAAUGUCUGGGAAACUGCCUGAUGGAGGGGGAUAACUACUGGAAACGGUAGCUAAUACCGCAUAACGUCGCAAGACCAAAGAGGGGGACCUUCGGGCCUCUUGCCAUCGGAUGUGCCCAGAUGGGAUUAGCUAGUAGGUGGGGUAACGGCUCACCUAGGCGACGAUCCCUAGCUGGUCUGAGAGGAUGACCAGCCACACUGGAACUGAGACACGGUCCAGACUCCUACGGGAGGCAGCAGUGGGGAAUAUUGCACAAUGGGCGCAAGCCUGAUGCAGCCAUGCCGCGUGUAUGAAGAAGGCCUUCGGGUUGUAAAGUACUUUCAGCGGGGAGGAAGGGAGUAAAGUUAAUACCUUUGCUCAUUGACGUUACCCGCAGAAGAAGCACCGGCUAACUCCGUGCCAGCAGCCGCGGUAAUACGGAGGGUGCAAGCGUUAAUCGGAAUUACUGGGCGUAAAGCGCACGCAGGCGGUUUGUUAAGUCAGAUGUGAAAUCCCCGGGCUCAACCUGGGAACUGCAUCUGAUACUGGCAAGCUUGAGUCUCGUAGAGGGGGGUAGAAUUCCAGGUGUAGCGGUGAAAUGCGUAGAGAUCUGGAGGAAUACCGGUGGCGAAGGCGGCCCCCUGGACGAAGACUGACGCUCAGGUGCGAAAGCGUGGGGAGCAAAACAGGAUUAGAUACCCCGGUAGUCCACGCCGUAAACGAUGUCGACUUGGAGGUUGUGCCCUUGAGGCGUGGCUUCCGGAGCUAACGCGUUAAGUCGACCGCCUGGGGAGUACGGCCGCAAGGUUAAAACUCAAAUGAAUUGACGGGGGCCCGCACAAGCGGUGGAGCAUGUGGUUUAAUUCGAUACAACGCGAAGAACCUUACCUGGUCUUGACAUCCACGGAAGUUUUCAGAGAUGAGAAUGUGCCUUCGGGAACCGUGAGACAGGUGCUGCAUGGCUGUCGUCAGCUCGUGUUGUGAAAUGUUGGGUUAAGUCCCGCAACGAGCGCAACCCUUAUCCUUUGUUGCCAGCGGUCCGGCCGGGAACUCAAAGGAGACUGCCAGUGAUAAACUGGAGGAAGGUGGGGAUGACGUCAGGUCAUCAUGGCCCUUACGACCAGGGCUACACACGUGCUACAAUGGCGCAUACAAAGAGAAGCGACCUCGCGAGAGCAAGCGGACCUCAUAAAGUGCGUCGUAGUCCGGAUUGGAGUCUGCAACUCGACUCCAUGAAGUCGGAAUCGCUAGUAAUCGUGGAUCAGAAUGCCACGGUGAAUACGUUCCCGGGCCUUGUACACACCGCCCGUCACACCAUGGGAGUGGGUUGCAAAAGAAGUAAGUAGCUUAACCUUCGGGAGGGCGCUUACCACUUUGUGAUUCAUGACUGGGGUGAAGUCGUAACAAGGUAACCGUAGGGGAACCUGCGGUUG
rnacentral:rRNA from 1 species